AAUUUACGGCGACACCCGCGGCGGCCGGCAAAAAUAGGGCAGUGUUGGUCCAGUCGUGGGUGGCGGAGGGUGUGCUGCUCUUCUCCCCGGGCCCUGCCGCGCCUCCGUCAGCAGUGCCGGGAACGUGUCGCCGAGGAGGCUGCAGUGCAUACCUGGAGGAGCCUCGGAGACUUGGCAAGUGUGACGGAGGGCCGACAGAGGGACACAUGGAGAGAAUAACUCACCGCUGUAGACGAAGAGGAGGGCGGGCAGGAGGAAGAGGAAGCCGAGGAAGCAGGUGACUGUUGCGGCCAUCUUGAGGAGGUUGAGUCGGGCCUCCACGAUGCGGGCGAAGUGGACGGCUCUCACCCACGCCCGCAGCCCCCACGCCCACCGCCGCCCCGCCCCACGCAGCACAGACGCCCGCCGAUACUUCCUGCAGCGUGUAAAGUCACUCUUCUCCGCCGAGUCGUGAGGGUGUGGGAGAGUGGGCGACCCGCGUUCUGGCGUGUCCCGAUGUGGAGUGAGAGAGCACUGAGCAGAGACCCAGGAAGACCUUCAAUCACACGUCGAGGAAAAGCUA